GCACAACAUCAAACCACAACUCGAGAUCCUUAAAGCAGUGAGAAAGUGAGAGAAAGAUGGAUAACUUCUUUCUAGAUUCCAUUUGCGAAGAAGAAGACAUAUUCUGGGAUCUGAUCGCCGGUGAUGUCUCCGGCAACGCUGACAAUACCGUAAGUGUACUAAACAGAAGCGCUUUUAGGUCAUACGUGACGGACACGGAGCAGACGAUGGUAUCUUCUUCAUCGUCGGUGAACGUGAACAAAAGAAUGUUGAAUCUUUUGAGAAAGAUUUGGGAAGAGAAGAAAAAUGCGUUAGCGCCGGAGAAGGAGAGAUGCCGACAACAUAUGAUGAAAGAGAGGACGAGAAGAAUGAAACAAAAACAGAGUUACUUAGCUCUGCAUUCUCUAUUACCAUUUGCCACUAAGAAUGACAAAAAUUCGAUUGUUGAAAAAGCGGUCGAUCAAAUUGGGAAAUUAGACGAAUAUAAGAAAGAACUGGAGAGAAGAAUGAAUGUGUUGGAGGCAAAAUCAGCAACGGAUCAUGAUAAAAUGACUGGAACAAAGACUAGGUUUAGUCUACAAGAACCCUUGUCUGGGAUCGAUUCAAUGGUAGAAAUUCUUCAAUGUCUUAAAUCAAUGGGGACAAAACUCAAAACGGUCCAAGCCAAUUUCUCUCCUCACGAAUUCUCUGCAACCAUGAACAUUGAGACUCAGGUAUAUGUCCAUUUCAUUUUUUUUCCAAGGUUUUUGGACUAUUAUAUAUUAAAACAGAAGUCACAACUUUGAUUCAUGUGUGAUUUUUAAAAAAAUGGAUCUAAUGGACUUAUUCCUAGAAAAUCAUUUUACAUUUAAUCUCUAAUCUUAUCAUUUAAAUUUUGGGCCUACCAGAAAUUUUUAUUGGGUUAUCAAUAACUGGAUUUAAACAAUAGAUGAUUCAUUGGAUUUAUUGGGCUAUCAAUAAAAUGUUUAAUUAUUUACUCGAUAAUAUAAAUCUAUGAAGCGAAAAGUUUAAUUUUUAAAAAAAAUUCUAAAUUUGUGAAAUGUUACAAUAUCUUUGAGUAUGACAAUAAAAUAAUAUUUUACUAAUCUUUAUAUAUAUAGUUACGAUUUUAAUAAUGAAAUAAUAAUCCGAAAAUAUAUAUAUAGAAAAAGAUACAAAUACAUGUGAAAGUUUAAAAUAAUUUAUUCGAUAAAAAAAAUAUACCGUAAACUUAUUAUGUUUUAAAAAUUGAUAGACACAUAUAUUAUAAUAUAUACCAAUUUAGAAUUGAAAACAAAAUAUUUAUAUAAAAAUAAAUGAAAACAAAAAUCUGCGCGGUUGUGCGGGUCGAGAUCUAGUUAUUAUUAUUAUUGAUAUUGAGAUUUUGGAGAUCUCUACAUUUUCCCUGUUAUACUUUUCUAAUUGAGCUAGUAGCCUUAAAUAAUAUUUAGGUUUGUAUGAUUACAAAACAUGUAGAAACCAAAAAUAUACUGCGAUUAGGUAUAAUUCAGUUCACGUUUCUAUCGCUAUGAUAUACAUGUACACCACCGUAUAUAGUGCUGGUAUAUCAAUAGUUAUGUGAAAAUUUGCUUUGUAGGUUGAAGUGACGGUCGUCUAAGAAAAUAUCAGAAAAAGUAUCUUCAAUUAAAUAAUACGAGGAGAGGAGGUGGAAGAGAGAGUGGAGAGAAGACUCCAAGAAACUGAAUGGAAGCUCCUCGUUCUCGCAGAAGCUUCGCGUAUCGAAGACUACUGAGUUCCUUUUGUAUUGACUUUCUGCUUUGUCGAAAAGAAAAGUAACAAUAUUCUUUUUUUUUUUUAAUAAAUUCUAUCGGCUA